CUCCUUUGCCAGUUAGCAUUGAUAAUCUUCAAUUGCUCAACCACUUGUUUCUUUUAAUUUUAACAAUCUUACAGCUGAAGCUAUCUAAGAUUUAUUCAGGAGAAUAUAUUUUAUAACACCUCCUUUUUCCUGUAAACAUUGAAGGAAGGUUCGUGAUAUGGACCCUUGGCUGAAAUUUGAAGGUGAAAAAGGACUGCUCCGUUACCAUUUAUGGUGUGGGAAUGACUUUCCUUCACCACUAGCCUGGGUGAAAUUUAAUGACUGACCAAGAGGGAAGUAAUUCAUUCUUCCUGUCAUCCUAUUUUAUUCCCCUGCCCCCUUACCUUGUGCUCUCUUUUCCUCCUCAGUUCCUAUUAUGAUCUUUCUUUGUCAAGGAUGUUUCUCAUGAUUAAGUGCUUAUAUCUUCUUCUCCCCAGCAUAUUUGUUUGGAUAGAUUUAGGACAGAUAAAAAUGCUGAAAAUUGCCUGGUUUCUGUUUUCUCUAGAGAGAAAACCCUGAAAGAUUUUUAGCUAAUGGCAUUAGACCAGUUUCGAUCACUGUAAGAUUCUCUGGCUUUAGUUCUAUAACCCUCCAGAAGUCUAGAUCUUCUUGAUAUUAAAGAAAACAUGCACACUUUGAGUGAGCUACUGAGUUCCAUCUAAUUGUUUCCAUUUUACAGAGACUAAGGACAGGGGACCACUGGGAAGGCACAUAAGGAAACAAAAGGGACUUUGACCCAGAGACUGGACCCUGAGUCUAUAUGAAAUAGGAGGUGGGGCCAAAGUUAAUGGAGAACCUGGACUAACAGCCUCACCACCUUGGAUCACUUUCAGUAACCACGAGGCCUACCUGGAAGUGCAACUCUGGGUCAUGUGGAAGUGAAAACUGCAGUGGGACUUUGAAUUUGCUGUGUCCUCUGCUGAGAACAUUCCCUCUGAAGAUUCAGAACCCUUUAUACUACUCCAACACCAAAUAUUUAAUCUGUCAAUCUAAUCUUGGAUAUUUGAAAUCUUCUCCAUACAUAUCAUGAGAUAUUCUUCGCCAGAAUAAGCUUUUGUUUCACUACCAAGAGGUUUGGCCUCCUCUCCAGCCUGUGACUACCGGGAAGACAGGGCACCUGUCCUAUUCACCUUUGUAUCUCUGGUGUCUCACUCAGGAUCCGGCACAGUGCUUGCCAAGGACCUGCUAUGCGCCAGGGGCUGCUGGAGCUGGGAACCUAAUGAUCACAGUGUCAGCCUCUGCCAGCCUUUGUGUGUGUGGCAGGGGUUGUUUUGAGUCCCACCAUCUUCCAUCCCUGAUGCUUGGAGAAGCUGAGGACACACAGGAGAGUCCUGGUGGACCUGAGAUUUUGGGAAGAUGCAGACAUACCAAACCCUAGUGUUAUUUACCUCUGGGGCUGGUAUUGGAGUAACGAAG